rnacentral:pre_miRNA from 1 species
GUUAUACUCCCUCCGUCCUAAAAUUCUUGCCUUAAAUUUGUCUAAAUACGGAUGUAUCUAGUUACGUUUUAGUAUUAGAUACAUCCGUAUCUAGACAAAUCUAAGACAAGAAUUUUGGGAUGGAGGGAGUAGUUG